rnacentral:misc_RNA from 1 species
AACUGAUACUACCUGCGGGAACCUGCGGAAGGAUCAUUACCGAGUGAGGGCCCUCUGGGUCCAACCUCCCACCCGUGUUUAUCGUACCUUGUUGCUUCGGCGGGCCCGCCGCCAGGCCGCCGGGGGGCAUCUGCCCCCGGGUCCGCGCCCGCCGAAGACACCUGUGAACGCUGUCUGAAGAUUGCAGUCUGAGCGAAAAGCUAAAUUAUUAAAACUUUUAGCAACGGAUCUCUAGAUCGG